rnacentral:rRNA from 1 species
AACGAACGCUGGCGGCGUGCCUAACACAUGCAAGUCGAACGAGAAAGUUCUUCGGAACGAGUAAAGUGGCGCACGGGUGAGUAACACGUGGGUAACCUGCCUUAGAGACGAGAACAACCUUCCGAAAGGAGGGCUAAUUCACGAUAAGACCACGGGAACUUUGGUUCCUGAGGGAAAAUGGUGCCGCAAGGUAUCGCUUUAGGAUGGGCCUGCGUCGCAUUAGCUAGUUGGUAGGGUAACGGCCUACCAAGGCGACGAUGCGUAGCUGGUCUGAGAGGAUGAUCAGCCACACUGGAACUGAGACACGGUCCAGACUCCUACGGGAGGCAGCAGUGGGGAAUAUUGGGCAAUGGAGGAAACUCUGACCCAGCAACGCCGCGUGAGUGAUGAAGGCCUUCGGGUCGUAAAGCUCUGUUGGGGGGGACGAAAUGACAGCGUAAUAAACUGUCUCGACUUAACCCCCUGAGGAAGCACCGGCUAACUCUGUG